rnacentral:tRNA from 1 species
GAGGAUUUAGCUCAGUGGUAGAGCGCUUGCCUAGGAAGCGUAAGACCCUGGGUUCGGUCCCCAGCUCC